AAAGGGAGACCUAAUUCAGGUAAAAGACGAAAAAAAAGUAGUCGCUACCAAGAAUCAAUCCCAAAAGGUCGGAGCGAGGCGAAAUUGGCUUUCAAACUAGGUUCUGGGUUCAAACAAGACCUGAAUCAGGAACAAGGGCUAUUAGCUCAGGUGGUUAGAGCGCACCCCUGAUAAGGGUGAGGUCCCUGGUUCGAGUCCAGGAUGGCCCACCUGUACAGGUGGCAAAAAGAAAGAAAAGAAGCGAGGAAUCAGCACCUUAUCUUACUGACAUAGUAAGAGAGAAUGCUGGCUCUGAGUAAAGAGUCCAGAGGAACCUUGAAAACUGCAUAGAGCUAGGUGAAAAAGCCAAAAAAGAAGACCGCAAG
rnacentral:tRNA from 1 species